GAAGCCCAGUGAGUUUAAAUAUCAGAUUAAUAAUGAAGAAUUUUUAGUCUAAGUAUGUCUUUGCAAUAUUUGGGACAUACUUAGACUAAAAACUUAUUUGUUAUUUAUCUGAAAUUCAAAUUUAACUGGGCAUCCUGUAUUUU
rnacentral:miRNA from 1 species